rnacentral:rRNA from 1 species
AGGAUGAACGCUGGCGGCGUGCUUAACACAUGCAAGUCGAACGGUGAAAGAGGAGCUUGCUCCUCUGGAUCAGUGGCGAACGGGUGAGUAACACGUGAGUAACCUGCCCUUGACUCUGGGAUAAGCGUUGGAAACGACGUCUAAUACCGGAUACGACCUCCGAAGGCAUCUUCUGGAAGUGGAAAGAAUUUCGGUCAAGGAUGGACUCGCGGCCUAUCAGCUAGUUGGUGAGGUAACGGCCUACCAAGGCGACGACGGGUA